rnacentral:rRNA from 1 species
CCUUUGACGUUAGCGGCGGACGGGUGAGUAACACGUGGGUAACCUACCUAUAAGACUGGGAUAACUUCGGGAAACCGGAGCUAAUACCGGAUAAUAUUUCGAACCGCAUGGUUAGAUAGUGAAAGGUGGUUUUGCUAUCACUUAUAGAUGGACCCGCGCCGUAUUAGCUAGUUGGUAAGGUAACGGCUUACCAAGGCGACGAUACGUAGCCGACCUGAGAGGGUGAUCGGCCACACUGGAACUGAGACACGGUCCAGACUCCUACGGGAGGCAGCAGCC